rnacentral:rRNA from 1 species
GACGAACGCUGGCGGCGUGCUUAACACAUGCAAGUCGAACGGAAAGGCCCUGCUUUUGUGGGGUGCUCGAGUGGCGAACGGGGGAGUAACACGUGAGUAACCUGCCCUUGACUUUGGGAUAACUUCAGGAAACUGGGGCUAAUACCGGAUAGGAGCUCCUGCUGCAUGGUGGGGGUUGGAAAGUUUCGGCGGUUGGGGAUGGACUCGCGGCUUAUCAGCUUGUUGGUGGGGUAGUGGCUUACCAAGGCUUUGACGGGUAGCCGGCCUGAGAGGGUGACCGGCGACAAUAGGCCUGCGAGACGGACCAGACUCCAACGGGAGGCAGCAGGGGGGAGUAUUGCCCAAUGGGCGGGAGCCUGAGGCAGCAGCGCCGCGUGCGGAAUGACGGCCUUCGGGUUAUAAACCGCUUUCGCCUGUGAUGAAGCGUGAGUGACGGUAAUGGGUAAAGAAGCACCGGCUAACUACGUG